rnacentral:rRNA from 1 species
GGACAAUCUGCCCUGAAGUGGAGGAUAAUCCCGGGAAACUGGGGGUAAUACUCCAUAGUUCGUGCUGACUGGAAUGUUAUGCGAACGAAAGAUCCGUCGCUUCAGGAUGAGUCUGCGGCCGAUUAGGUAGUUGUUGGGGUAACGGCCCAACAAGCCUGUCAUCGGUACGGGUUGUGGGAGCAAGAGCCCGGAGAUGGAUUCUGAGACACGAAUCCAGGCCCUACGGGGCGCAGCAGGCGCGAAAACUUUACCAUGCGGGCAACCGUGAUAAGGAAACCCCGAGUGCCAGCACAGGCUGGCUGUCCGCCAGUGUAAAUAACUGGUGAAGAAAGGGCCGGGCAAGACCGGUGCCAGCCGCCGCGGUAAUACCGGCGGCUCGAGUGGUGGCCACUAUUACUGGGCUUAAAGGGUCCGUAGCUUGAUAUGCAAGUCUCUUGAGAAAUCCGCCAGCUUAACUGGUGGGCGUUCAGGGGAAACUGCAUUUCUAGGGACCGGGAGAGGUGAGAGGUACUGCCUGGGUAGGAGUGAAAUCCUGUAAUCCCGGUGGGACCACCUAUGGCGAAGGCAUCUCACCAGAACGGGUCCGACAGUGAGGGACGAAAGCUGGGGGAGCAAACCGGAUUAGAUACCCGGGUAGUCCCAGCUGUAAACGAUGCGCGUUAGGUGUGUCAGUGACCACGUGUCACUGAGGUGCCGAAGGGAAACCGUGAAACGCGCCGCCUGGGGAGUACGGUCGCAAGGCUGAAACUUAA